GACGAACGCUGGCGGCGUGCCUAAUACAUGCAAGUAGAACGCUGAAGGAGGAGCUUGCUUCUCCGGAUGAGUUGCGAACGGGUGAGUAACGCGUAGGUAACCUGCCUGGUAGCGGGGGAUAACUAUUGGAAACGAUAGCUAAUACCGCAUAACAGUAGAUAUUGCAUGAUAUCUGCUUGAAAGUUGCAAUUGCAUCACUACCAGAUGGACCUGCGUUGUAUUAGCUAGGUGGUGAGGUAACGGCUCACCAAGGCGACGAUACAUAGCCGACCUGAGAGGGUGAUCGGCCACACUGGGACUGAGACCCGGCCCAGACUGCUACGGGAGGCAGCAGUACGGAAUCUUAGGCAAUGGACGGAAGUCUGACCGAGCAACGCCGAGUGAGGGAAGAAGGUUUUCGGAUCGUAAAGGUCUGUUGUAAGAGAAGAACGAGUGUGAGCGUGGAACGUUCACACUGCGACGGUAGCUGACCAGAAAGGGACGGCUAACUACGUG
rnacentral:rRNA from 1 species